rnacentral:rRNA from 1 species
UACGGGGGGGGCAAGCGUUGUUCGGAAUUACUGGGCGUAAAGGGCUCGUAGGUGGCCAACUAAGUCAGACGUGAAAUCCCUCGGCUUAACCGGGGAACUGCGUCUGAUACUGGAUGGCUUGAGUUUGGGAGAGGGACGCGGAAUUCCAGGUGUAGCGGUGAAAUGCGUAGAUAUCAGGAGGAACACCGGCGGUGUAGACGGCUCUCUGGACCGUAACUGACGCUGAGACACGAAAGCGUGGGUAGCAAACAGG